rnacentral:rRNA from 1 species
GACGAACGCUGGCGGCGUGCUUAACACAUGCAAGUCGGACGGAAAGGCCCUGCUUUUGUGGGGUGCUCGAGUGGCGAACGGGUGAGUAACACGUGAGUAACCUGCCCUUGACUUUGGGAUAACUUCAGGAAACUGGGGCUAAUACCGGAUAGGAGCUCCUGCUGCAUGGUGGGGGUUGGAAAGUUUCGGCGGUUGGGGAUGGACUCGCGGCUUAUCAGCUUGUUGGUGGGGUAGUGGCUUACCAAGGCUUUGACGGGUAGCCGGCCUGAGAGGGUGACCGGCCACAUUGGGACUGAGAUACGGCCCAGACUCCUACGGGAGGCAGCAGUGGGGAAUAUUGCACAAUGGGCGGAAGCCUGAUGCAGCAACGCCGCGUGCGGGAUGACGGCCUUCGGGUUGUAAACCGCUUUCGCCUGUGACGAAGCGUGAGCGACGGUAAUGGGUAAAGAAGCACCGGCUAACUACGUG